CUCCACCGAAUGCCUAAGGUUUCCUGAGGAAGGCUCGUCCGCUCAGGGUUAGUCGGGACCUAAGCCGAGGCCGAAAGGCGUAGGCGAUGGACAACAGGUUGAUAUUCCUGUACCACCUCCUCACCAUUUGAGCAAUGGGGGGACGCAGGAGGAUAGGGUAAGCGCGGUAUUGGAUAUCCGCGUCCAAGCAGUUAGGCUGGGAAAUAGGCAAAUCCGUUUCCCAUAAGGCUGAGCCGUGAUGGCGAGCGAGAUAUAGUAGCGAAGUUCCUGAUUCCACACUGCCAAGAAAAGCCUCUAGCGAGGUGAGAGGUGCCCGUACCGCAAACCGACACAGGUAGGCGAGGAGAGAAUCCUAAGGUGAUCGAGAGAACUCUCGUUAAGGAACUCGGCAAAAUGACCCCGUAACUUCGGGAGAAGGGGUGCUCUGUUAGGGUGCAAGCCCGAGAGAGCCGCAGUGAAUAGGCCCAGGCGACUGUUUAGCAAAAACACAGGUCUCUGCGAAGCCGUAAGGCGAAGUAUAGGGGCUGACGCCUGCCCGGUGCUGGAAGGUUAAGAGGAGCGCUUAGCGUAAGCGAAGGUGCGAAUUGAAGCCCCAGUAAACGGCGGCCGUAACAAUAACGGUCCUAAGGUAGCGAAAUUCCUUGUCGGGUAAGUUCCGACCCGCACGAAAGGCGCAACGAUCUGGGCACUGUCUCAACGAGAGACACGGUGAAAUUAUAGUACCUGUGAAGAUGCAGGUUACCCGCGACAGGACGGAAAGACCCCGUGGAGCUUUACUGCAGCCUGAUAUUGAAUGUUGGUACAGCUUGUACAGGAUAGGUAGGAGCCUUGGAAACCGGAGCGCCAGCUUCGGUGGAGGCAUCGGUGGGAUACUACCCUGGCUGUGUUGACCUUCUAACCCGCCGCCCUUAUCGGGCGGGGAGACAGUGUCAGGUGGGCAGUUUGACUGGGGCGGUCGCCUCCUAAAAGGUAACGGAGGCGCCCAAAGGUUCCCUCAGAAUGGUUGGAAAUCAUUCGCAGAGUGUAAAGGCACAAGGGAGCUUGACUGCGAGACCUACAAGUCGAGCAGGGACGAAAGUCGGGCUUAGUGAUCCGGUGGUUCCGCAUGGAAGGGCCAUCGCUCAACGGAUAAAAGCUACCCCGGGGAUAACAGGCUUAUCUCCCCCAAGAGUCCACAUCGACGGGGAGGUUUGGCACCUCGAUGUCGGCUCAUCGCAUCCUGGGGCUGUAGUCGGUCCCAAGGGUUGGGCUGUUCGCCCAUUAAAGCGGUACGCGAGCUGUGUUCAGAACGUCGUGAGACAGUUCGGUCCCUAUCCGUCGCGGGCGCAGGAAAUUUGAGAGGAGCUGUCCUUAGUACGAGAGGACCGGGAUGGACGCACCGCUGGUGUACCAGUUGUUCUGCCAAGGGCAUCGCUGGGUAGCUAUGUGCGGACGGGAUAAGUGCUGAAAGCAUCUAAGCAUGAAGCCCCCCUCAAGAUGAGAUUUCCCAUUCCGCAAGGAAGUAAGAUCCCUGAAAGAUGAUCAGGUUGAUAGGUCUGAGGUGGAAGUGUGGCGACACAUGGAGCUGACAGAUACUAAUCGAUCGAGGAC
rnacentral:rRNA from 1 species